rnacentral:rRNA from 1 species
AUUGAACGCUGGCGGCAGGCUUAACACAUGCAAGUCGAGCGGAGAUGAGGUGCUUGCACCUUAUCUUAGCGGCGGACGGGUGAGUAAUGCUUAGGAAUCUGCCUAUUAGUGGGGGACAACAUUCCGAAAGGAAUGCUAAUACCGCAUACGCCCUACGGGGGAAAGCAGGGGAUCUUCGGACCUUGCGCUAAUAGAUGAGCCGAAGUCGGAUUAGCUAGUUGGUGGGGUAAAGGCCUACGAAGGCGACGAUCUGUAGCGGGUCUGAGAGGAUGAUCCGCCACACUGGGACUGAGACACGGCCCAGACUCCUACGGGAGGCAGCAGUGGGGAAUAUUGGACAAUGGGCGGAAGCCUGAUCCAGCCAUGCCGCGUGUGUGAAGAAGGCCUUUUGGUUGUAAAGCACUUUAAGCGAGGAGGAGGCUACCUGGAUUAAUACUCUAGGAUAGUGGACGUUACUCGCAGAAUAAGCACCGGCUAACUCUGUGCCAGCCGCCGCCGUAAGAC